CUGAUCUUUGCUGCUACUGAGGACGCCUCCCACAGGACAACUUGGUUUCUCAGGUUUAGAUAACUAAAACCAAGAACGCUGAACACCUGCUACGAAAAGUUGGAAGGUCUCAUAAAGCCAGGAACACAGAAUAUCUCCUGUGUUGUAAGGCUGGUGCCAAGGAAGUUAAUUCGCCAAAGAGGACUAUAAAACAUGAACAGCUCAAAGUUCAGCAACUGAAAGUUAAAAGACUUAGAUGAAGAUGACUUCACAAAACUCUCAGAAGUCCACUGUGUUUACUUCCAUUUCCAACACAUAGCUAACUUUUAGUUUAACUUUGAAAGUGCGUUUUAUUUCAUUUGCUUUGCUAAUAGAGGUUUAAUUGUCCAUCAAUUGAAGUUCAAGAAGAAAAGCCCAAAUUGCUUGGCUAAGACCUAGCACUUGAAAUCUCUGUAUUUAUGCAUAGAUAACAAAUCAAUACUACUCUCCAAUCUGUCUGCUAAUGGAAUUGUCACAGCAUCUCCCUGAGCCCAGAAGAGACUCGCCGAAGUUCUGAACCAACACUCCUUCCCUCCCUCACUGACUGGCAGAAAUCUAUGGGCUCCAGUGGGUCAGGCAAAUCGAACAUUUAAAAAGUAUAACUACUUGUUGGUUUAGAAUGGGGAGUAUGUGUCUUUAUCAUCAACCAGAGUCCAUUAUGGUAAGAUUUAAUAACUUGCACUAAAAAUGAGGUGCAAACAGGUGGCCCCCAGACUUAAUGAGUCCCUUCUACAGAAGGGUGUGUUGCAUCUGGGUGUGUGUGUGUGUGUGUGUGUGGAGUGUGUGUCCUGCAUGGUUUUCUCUUCCUCCUUCCUUUCCUCUUCCCCUUCCCUUUCUUUUUCCUUCUUUCUCUUUUUUUAAACCUUUUUUUUAAGUUCAGAGGUAAAUGUGUAGGUUUGUUACAUGGGUAAACUCAUGUAACAGGGGUUUGCUGAACAGAUUAUUUCAUCACCCAGUUAUUAAGCCUAGUACCCAUUAGUUAGUUUUUUUCUGAUCCUCUCCCUCCUCCCACUCUCCACCCUCUGAUAGGCCCUAGUGUCUGUUGUUCUCCUGUAUGUGUCCAUGGGUUCUCAUCAUUUAGCUCCCACUUAAAAGUGAAGUAUUUGAUUUUCUGUUGCUGCAUUAGUUUGCUAAGGAUAAUGGCCUCCAGCUCUAUCCAUGUUUCUGCAAAAGACAUGAUCUCAUUCUUUUUUUAUGGCUGCAUAGUAUUCCAUGGUGUAUGCGUAUCACAUUUUCUUUAUCCAGUUUAUCAUUGCUGGGCAUUUAGGUUGAUUCCAUGUCUUUGCUAUCGUGAAUAGUGCUGCAAUGAACAUACACAUGCAUGUGUCUUUACGACAGAACGAUUUAUAAUCCUUUGGAAUAUACACCAUAAUGGAAUUGCUGGGUUGAAUGGUAGUUCUGUUUUUAGGUCUUUGAGGAAUCUCCACAAUGUUUUCCACAAUGAUGGAACUCUUUCCCUUUUUCCUUCCCUUUCUUUUCCUUCUUUUUCUUUUGAAUUGAAGAGAUCUUUCAUAAAAAUCCAGAAUUCUCCCUUGCCUCUAUUUAUUGUUAAGGUUUGCAUUUCCACAUGGCAACCACUAGGUGGCGCUGAGAAGAACUGUCCCCCUUGACGGGCGUGGACUCUCCAAGUGACCAGGAGUCCUGCUACACUUGUUAACAUUACUUACCUGGGGUUGUGUGUGCAGCUGGGUUUGAAGACCUUGCUCUAAGAGUACUGACAGUAGACUUCCCACUCUAAUUUGCAGGCCUCUGAGGGCAGUCUGACAUUGUGUUUAAGAACAUGGACUCUGGGGCAGACUCCUUGGAUUAGAAUAUCAGUUCCACCACCUAGCUUUAGCUCUGUGUGCUUGGGCAAGUAACUCAACCUCUCAGGGCCCCAGUUUAAUCUAUAAACUGAGGAUAAUAAUAGUACAGCCUCAUUGGGUUGUCAUGAGGAAUAGAUUUGGCCUUUAGAACAAACAGCAACUUGGCACAUAUUAAGCACCAUAAAAGUGUUAGCCUCUUUUAGAAACCUUGGUAUUUAAGCUUUUAUCUGUGUUAAAGUAAAAGUUAUUCUGACACUUGUUAAAAUGGUAAGAAGACUUUAUUCAGGACUUUUGUGAUGGGUAUCAAGAAUAUUGCAAUAGAGUAGAGAGAUGGGGCUCAAAUUCAAAUACAACAAGAACAAGUAGAGAUAUUUAGCCAAGGAGAGGGUUGUGGUGGGGGGCAGGUGUGUCAGUGGAUGUAAAAUUACUAAGAGGAGACAUCAAGCGAAGGGGGAUUUUUGCUAAACCACUUAACAAAUUCUUGCUGAAAGCAUGGUUGACCAAAGCGAUCAGAUGUCAGGGAUGGUGAAUUCUCUCUAAGCUGGCUUAGCAAGGUUCUUGCUAAAACUGGACUCUGCAAAAGAUGAACACAGAUGCCUAAGGUCAAGACCUGGUUGAGAAGAGGGCUCAGCAAAUAAAGGUUUUCUUAAAAGACUCUCUGUAACAUUAUAAAUUCUUCCUGAAUUGAGCAGAAAUCACACAGAAGCUAAUGGUACCUCUGAGUUUAUCUUUAAGUUUAAUGGGAACCGUAUCCUUGACAGCAGACUCUUUUGGCACCUAUCCUUAAAAUCGUGAGCAGAGACUUAAAGCCUUGUUCUGGUAAUACAGCAAGACUUCAGGGUAAACAUUAUCCACCUUUUACAGGGAGGGAAACUGAGGCCCAGAGGCUAAGUAACCCACUCAAGAUGGAAUACCUGUAAUUCCUGUUGAACUGAAUUCUAAUGGAUGCGAAUGCCUGGACCCUUCCUAUGCUGCUUCCUUAUUAACUGUAACCAUGAGAAGAAAAUGGAAAGAAAGAAAAAAUUUUAAAAUUUUUAUAGAUAUCUAUAUAUCUAUAUAUAUCUCCCUAGAGGAGAGGGAACCUUCUAUUUGCAAGUGAUUUGCAAUCCAGGGGCAGCCUAGAUGGCAUUAACAUCCACUACAGUGACAUUCAUAACUGGUCACCUUAGGGAAAGUCCAACCAGCUUGUUGAAAGCUGACACUGUCACUGACCAUUCUGAAAAUAGUGAGUUCCACUACUAUGCCAUGCUGCCUAUUUUCAUAACAGACACCUGCACUUAAUAAGAGAGGCAGCAGGGAAUCUCAGCCCUUUGUGACUUCCCCCAAAGCCACGCUGAUGGGAAGAGCAUUAAGCAGAACGGAUGGGGAGAGGUGUGGUGGCCCUGGACCGACAGGAGGCUGAUGUAGUGCAGGUCAUAGUGAUAAUCCUGUGGGCAGCAAUUACCUUAGCCCACUUCAGAACCACUGCACUGCUAGAACAAGGGCUCCAGGAUGUCAUCAUGCCUCUUUAGUGAUAUUAAAUAAGAGUUACAGGGACCUCAGUGAGCACCUUUCUUUCCAGCCAUCUGACAGCUGUUUUUAGUAAUCAGAUAGCUCCUGCAAAGACCCUCAGAGAACAGCAAGGCAAAAAGUAAGAGAUUACUAAUCCUCAAGAAAAGAGUAAAGAAAAAACAUCAUCUGGCAUCCUAUUCAAUCUGAUCUAAUUGCUCCCUUUAAUUGGGAACUUUUGCCUGGAUCAUUUGCAUUCUGAACCCAGCAGAUUCUGCCAGUGCAGAGUUUGAAGGAGAAGUGAUUCAAUCCUAGGAAACAGCCACAGGCUGGGAAGAGCAGUCCCUUCUUCUUUCUUUAAAAACAUCAUACCGGGGCACUAACAGCUGCCUAAAAUGCACUUUUUGAAGACAUUAGCUGAAAAAUUGUUUUGUCCCUUCAGACUGUGGCUAAAGCAAG
rnacentral:lncRNA from 10 species